rnacentral:rRNA from 1 species
AUUGAACGCUGGCGGAGUGCUUUACACAUGCAAGUCGAACGGCAGCACGGGGCAACCUGGUGGCGAGUGGCGAACGGGUGAGUAAUACAUCGGAACGUGCCCAGUCGUGGGGGAUAACGUAGCGCAAGUUACGCUAAUACCGCAUACGAUCGAUGGAUGAAAGCGGGGGAUCGCAAGACCUCGCGCGAUUGGAGCGGCAGAUGUCAGAUUAGGUAGUUGGUGGGGUAAAGGCCUACCGAGCCGACGAUCUGUAGCUGGUCUGAGAGGACGACCAGCCACACUGGGACUGAGACACGGCCCAGACUCCUACGGGAGGCAGCAGUGGGGAAUUUUGGACAAUGGGCGCAAGCCUGAUCCAGCCAUUCCGCGUGCAGGAUGAAGGCCUUCGGGUUGUAAACUGCUUUUGUACGGAACGAAAAGGCUCUGGUUAAUACCUGGGGCUCAUGACGGUACCGUAAGAAUAAGCACCGGCUAACUACGUGCCAGCCGCCGCUGUAACAC